ACGGACAUACCACAUUGAAAACACUGGUUCUCAUCCGAUCACUAAAGUUAAGCAAUGUCGGUCAGUACUUGGGAGGGUGACCACCUGGGAACACCAGGUAUAACUGUAGGCU
rnacentral:rRNA from 1 species